CGCAAUCCCGCGAGGGUGAGCUAACUCCAAAAACCCGUCCUCAGUUCGGAUUGCAGACUGCAACUCGUCUGCAUGAAGCAGGAAUCGCUAGUAAUCGCUGGUCAGCCACACGGCGGUGAAUUCGUUCUCGGGUCUUGUACACACCGCCCGUCACACUAGGGGAGCUGGCCUUGUUUGAAAGCUUUAAAACCUUUAACCGCAAGGAAGGGUAUGCAGAAAGCAAGGCGGGUGACUAAAGUGAAGUCGUAACAAGGUAGCCGUACUGGAAGGUGUGGCUGGAUCACCUCCUU
rnacentral:rRNA from 1 species